rnacentral:RNase_P_RNA from 1 species
ACAGUGGGCCGGUCUGUCGCUUUCUACCUGAAAGAGGAAAGUCCGGGCAACACAGGGCACCAUGCUUCCUAACUGGAAGUUGUCCGCGAGGGCAAAGACCAUGUAACAGAAAAUAACCGCCUGUGCAAACAGGUAAGGGUGAAAAGGCGGGGUAAGAGCCCACCGCUCCGAUGGCGACACCGGGGGUCCGUACAUCUCAUGGGUUGCAAGACCAUGUACACCGGCGCAUGUAGGGCUGCCCGCCCGAUGCCGGGGGGUAGGUCGCUCGAGCCUGCAGGUGACUGCUGGCCUAGAUAAAUGACAGACGCCUUCACACGAAGGUACAGAACCCGGCUUACAGGCCCACUGUUUUA